GAUGAACGCUGGCGGCGUGCCUAAUACAUGCAAGUCGAGCGAACAGACGAGGAGCUUGCUCCUCUGACGUUAGCGGCGGACGGGUGAGUAACACGUGGAUAACCUACCUAUAAGACUGGGAGAACUUCGGGAAACCGGAGCUAAUACCGGAUAAUAUAUUGAACCGCAUGGUUCAAUAGUGAAAGACGGUUUUGCUGUCACUUAUAGAUGGAUCCGCGCCGCAUUAGCUAGUUGGUAAGGUAACGGCUUACCAAGGCGACGAUGCGUAGCCGACCUGAGAGGGUGAUCGGCCACACUGGAACUGAGACACGGUCCAGACUCCUACGGGAGGCAGCAGUAGGGAAUCUUCCGCAAUGGGCGAAAGCCUGACGGAGCAACGCCGCGUGAGUGAUGAAGGUCUUCGGAUCGUAAAACUCUGUUAUUAGGGAAGAACAAAUGUGUAAGUAACUAUGCACGUCUUGACGGUACCUAAUCAGAAAGCCACGGCCAACUACGUG
rnacentral:rRNA from 1 species